GGGUUUAGGAAAAGAAGAACGGGACAGAGGGGUUUAGGAAAAGAAGAACGGGACAGAGGGGUUUAGGUAAAGAAGAACGGGACAGUUGGGUUUAGGUGAAGAAGAACGGGAUAGUUGGGUUUAGGUAAAGAAGAACGGGACAGUUGGUUUAGUGAAGAAGAACGGGAUAGUUGGGUUUAGUGAAAGAAACGGGACAGUUGGGUUUGGAAAGAAGCGGGACAGUUGGGUCAAGCAGACUAUGGGAACAGUUGUGUUUAGGUAAAGAAGAACGGGACAGUUGUGUUUAGGUAAAGAAGAACGGGACCGUUGGGUUUAGGUGAAGAAGAACGGGACCGUUGGGUUUAGGAAGAAAGUUACAGUUGGGUUAAGGAAA